AUUAUCCCUCUCCACUCAAAUAACAUUAGAAACCCUACUUCUUCUUCCUUGAAAAAAGGGAAAAAUAAAAAUCUUCCCUCCGUCUUAUUUGCAGAGCCUUCUCUUCUCUCACGGUGGGUUGAUUUUCUUCCAUUAUCACUGAAAUCCGCUCCACUAUUUGUGUGUUCGAUCUCUGUGAUAUUGGAUCGGUCGAUGGCUGAAGAAGAGGAGAGGAACGGCGGCGAUGGAAGUGAAACGAGUGACUAUACAUCGGAGGACGAAGGAACGGAGGACUACAAGCGCGGAGGAUACCACGCUGUACGAAUCGGGGAUACAUUCAAACUAGGACGAUACGUUGUGCAGAGCAAGCUCGGUUGGGGCCAUUUCUCAACUGUUUGGCUCGCUUGGGACAUCCAAAAAUCUACAUAUGUUGCUCUGAAAGUUCAAAAGAGUGCUCAGCAUUAUACUGAAGCGGCAAUGGAUGAGAUUGCAAUACUAAAGCAGGUUGCUGAGGGAGAUCCAGAUGAUAAGAAGUGUGUUGUGAAGCUAUUGGAUCACUUUAAGCAUUCUGGUCCUAAUGGGCAACAUGUUUGUAUGGUAUUUGAAUACUUGGGAGAUAAUCUUUUGACACUUAUCAAGUAUUCAGACUACCGAGGGCUCCCUAUCCACAAAGUUAAAGAGAUAUGCUUUCAUGUUUUGGUGGGUUUGGAUUAUUUACAUCGCAAACUUUCCAUCAUACACACAGACUUGAAGCCAGAAAAUGUGUUGCUUCUAUCAAUGAUUGAUCCAGCUAAAGAUCAUACAAAGUCGGGGACUCCUAUCAUUCUUCCCUCCAAUAAAAGUAAGAUUUUCUCUGAAUCUGGGGCUUCUAAAGCUGUGAAGAGUUUAAAUGGUGACCUGACCAAGAACCAGAAAAAGAAAAUUCGAAAAAAGGCUAAGCGGGUAGCUCAAAAGUGUGCGGACAAGGAAGCUUCUGAGGAGACUGAACCACAUAAUGAAACUACUGGUCCUGAAGACUCUGCUCGUGAUGAAAAACCUGAAGCGAAAUCAGUUGAUGAACAAACUAGUAUUGAAGCCAGUGGAGAUGUCUCAACAAAGGAAGGGCACCAAAAAAUUCAGAGACAUAAGCGAGGCAGCCGCUCUGAUAGGCAGAAGCUAUUGGCUGACGUUGACCUUAAGUGCAAAUUAGUUGACUUUGGUAAUGCAUGUUGGACGUAUAAACAAUUUACAAGUGAUAUCCAGACAAGACAGUAUAGAUGUCCGGAGGUUAUACUGGGCGCUAAGUAUUCUACUUCAGCAGAUCUUUGGUCCCUUGCUUGCAUUUGUUUUGAGCUCACCACAGGUGAUGUUCUUUUUGAUCCUCACAGUGGUGACGGUUAUGACAGAGAUGAGGAUCACUUGGCCCUCAUGAUGGAGCUUCUGGGGACGAUGCCACGCAAGAUUGCCUUAGGUGGACGCCAUUCAAGAGAUUUUUUUAACCGAAAUGGAGAACUAAGGCACAUCAGGCGCUUGCGGUUCUGGACUCUCAGUAAAGUGCUCAUGGAAAAGUAUGAUUUAUUCGAACAAGAUGCGAAUGAGAUGGCAGAUUUCCUUGUACCUAUCCUUGACUUUGUGCCUGAGAAAAGACCGACAGCAGCUCAAUGUCUUAGUCAUCCAUGGAUUACUGGAGGUCCUCGACAUCUUGGUUCUUCGACUAAUUCUCUAUCUGAAGCAACUGAAAACCAUGGUCCGAAGAACAACAGAGAGAAGGAUGAAAGGGAGGCAAUGGAAGUUAGAGUGGGUAAUAUUGCAAUUGAUGGGGCUCCAGCCCCAGUCAAAGCUUCUCAAUCUUCAGAUCUUGCUAAGAAGACAUAGUUGAUUGGUCCAGUGCUGUGAGCAUUUGGAAAUUGAAGGAAUGACUCUUUUGCUUCACUGUGGGUAGAAUCGUACAUCCCUACAUGAACUGUGAGCAGGCAAGUUUAAACUGUACCGAAGCAGCACGUUGGUGUUGGUUUGGUGAGUGAAACAGAUUCUUUCAGUUGUAUAACUUUGGUGGACAAUUUAUGAGCCACCCCUUCGAUUGGAUUCUUAUUAUUUUGGCUUUCCUUUGAUGAUGUACGCGUACUCUUCAGUGAAAGAACAUUAUAGCCUUUGAUGUCAAAAUUUAGUGACCGAUGGUUGGAUGCUAAUUGCUAUAUUACAUAACAAGAAAGUAUCUUAUGCUUUGCUUCGACUA